AAGACUAUAGACCUGCGGAGUACCUGCGGAAGGAUCAUUACUGAGUUACUACUCUCAACCCUUGUGAACAUUACCUGUGUUGCUUCGGCAGAUUUUCCCUGGGAGGGAAUUUGGCCUUUAGUGGCAAUCUGCCAGAGGCUUUUAUAAAAUUCUGAUUUUUCUAUUUUCUGAGGACAUUUUAAAAGAUUAAAAACUUUUAACAAUGGAUCUCU
rnacentral:misc_RNA from 1 species